rnacentral:rRNA from 1 species
GGGGAAUAUUGCACAAUGGGCGCAAGCCUGAUGCAGCCAUGCCGCGUGUGUGAAGAAGGCCUUCGGGUUGUAAAGCACUUUCAGUCAGGAGGAAAGGUUAGUAGUUAAUACCUGCUAGCUGUGACGUUACUGACAGAAGAAGCACCGGCUAACUCCGUGCCAGCAGCCGCGGUAAUACGGAGGGUGCGAGCGUUAAUCGGAAUUACUGGGCGUAAAGCGUACGCAGGCGGUUUGUUAAGCGAGAUGUGAAAGCCCCGGGCUCAACCUGGGAACUGCAUUUCGAACUGGCAAACUAGAGUGUGAUAGAGGGUGGUAGAAUUUCAGGUGUAGCGGUGAAAUGCGUAGAGAUCUGAAGGAAUACCGAUGGCGAAGGCAGCCACCUGGGUCAACACUGACGCUCAUGUACGAAAGCGUGGGGAGCAAACGGGAUUAGAUACCCCGGUAGUCCACGCCGUAAACGAUGUCUACUAGAAGCUCGGAGCCUAGGUUCUGUUUUUCAAAGCUAACGCAUUAAGUAGACCGCCUGGGGAGUACGGCCGCAAGGUUAAAACUCAAAUGAAUUGACGGGGGCCCGCACAAGCGGUGGAGCAUGUGGUUUAAUUCGAUGCAACGCGAAGAACCUUACCUACACUUGACAUACAGAGAACUUACCAGAGAUGGUUUGGUGCCUUCGGGAACUCUGAUACAGGUGCUGCAUGGCUGUCGUCAGCUCGUGUUGUGAGAUGUUGGGUUAAGUCCCGCAACGAGCGC